CCUACGGGUGGCAGCAGUGAGGAAUAUUGGUCAAUGGCCGGAAGGCUGAACCAGCCAUGCCGCGUGAAGGUCAGUGCCCUAUGGGCGUUAAACUUCUUUUGUGCGGGAGCAAUAAUGGUCACGUGUGGCCAGACGAGAGUACCGUACGAAUAAGCAUCGGCUAACUGCGUGCCAGCAGCCGCGGUAAUACGGGGGAUGCAAGCGUUAUCCGGAUUUAUUGGGUUUAAAGGGUGCGUAGGCUGUGAGGUAAGUCAGGGGGGAAAUGCCCCCGCUCAACGGGGUGAAGUGCCAUUGAUACUGGCGGGCGGGAGGGCGGAGGCGGUGGGAGGAAGGUGUGGUGUAGCGGGGA
rnacentral:rRNA from 1 species